AUGUUCUCUCUCUCUCUCUCUGUCAGUGCUUCAUGUUCUCUCUCUGUCAGCGCUUCAUGUUCUCUCUCUCUCUCUCUGUCAGUGCUUCAUGUUCUCUCUCUUUCUGUCAGUGCUUCAUGUUCUCUCUCUCUCUCUCGCUCAGUGCUUCAUGUUCUCUCUCUCUUUCUCUCAGUGCUUCAUGUUCUCUCUCUUUCUGUCAGUGCUUCAUGUUCUCUCUCUCUCUCUCUCUCUCUCUCUUUCUGUCAGUGUUUCAUGUUCUCUCUCUCUGUGCUUCAUGUUCUCUCUCUGUGCUUCAUGUUCUCUCUCUCUCUGUCAGUGCUUCAUGUUCUCUCUCUGUCAGUGCUUCAUGUUCUCUCUGUCAGUGCUUCAUGUUCUCUCUCUCUCUCUUUCUGUCAGUGUUUCAUGUUCUCUCUCUCUGUGCUUCAUGUUCUCUCUCUGUGCUUCAUGUUCUCUCUGUCUCUCUGUCAGUGUUUCAUGUUCUCUCUCUCUGUGCUUCAUGUUCUCUCUCUGUGCUUCAUGUUCUCUCUGUCUCUCUGUCAGUGCUUCAUGUUCUCUCUGUCAGUGCUUCAUGUUCUCUCUCUGUCAGUCAGUGCUUCAUGUUCUCUCUCUCUGUCAGUGCUUCAUGUUCUCUCUCUCUGUCAGUGCUUCAUGUUCUCUCUCUGUCAGUCAGUGCUUCAUGUUCUCUCUCUCUGUCAGUGCUUCAUGUUCUCUCUCUGUCAGUCAGUGCUUCAUGUUCUCUCUCUCUGUCAGUGCUUCAUGUUCUCUCUCUCUCGCUCUGUCAGUGCUUCAUGUUCUCUCUCUCUCUCUCUCUGUCAGUGCUUCAUGCUCUCUCUCUCUCUCUCUCUCUGUCAGUGCUUCAUGUUCUCUCUCUCUCUGUCAGUGCUUCAUGUUUUCUCUCUCUCUCUGUCAGUGCUUCAUGUUCUCUCUCUCUCUGUCAGUGCUUCAUGUUUUCUCUCUCUCUCUGUCAGUGCUUCAUGUUCUCUCUCUCUCUGUCAGUGCUUCAUGUUUUCUCUCUCUCUCUGUCAGUGCUUCAUGUUCUCUCUCUCUCUGUCAGUGCUUCAUGUUUUCUCUCUCUCUCUGUCAGUGCUUCAUGUUCUCUCUCUCUCUGUCAGUGCUUCAUGUUCUCUCUCUCUCUUUGUCAGUGCUUCAUGUUCUCUCUCUCUCUCUCUCUCUCUCUCUGUCAGUGCUUCAUGUUCUCUCUGUCAGUCAGUGCUUCAUGUUCGCCAUCUCCUUUUUCUUUCUGUCCAUUUUGUUCAGCAGGUUUUGUCCCAGCUUAAUGUUAGUCUUUGUAUGAUGGGACUAUUAUACUACUACAUUUUUGCUUUUAAAUGA
rnacentral:lncRNA from 1 species